rnacentral:rRNA from 1 species
AUUGAACGCUGGCGGCAGGCUUAACACAUGCAAGUCGAGCGGAGCGAGGGUGCUUGCACCUUAGCUUAGCGGCGGACGGGUGAGUAAUGCUUAGGAAUCUGCCUAUUAGUGGGGGACAACAUUCCGAAAGGAAUGCUAAUACCGCAUACGCCCUACGGGGGAAAGCAGGGGAUCUUCGGACCUUGCGCUAAUAGAUGAGCCUAAGUCGGAUUAGCUAGUUGGUGGGGUAAAGGCCUACCAAGGCGACGAUCUGUAGCGGGUCUGAGAGGAUGCUCCGCCACACUGGGACUGAGACACGGCCCAGACUCCUACGGGAGGCAGCAGUGGGGAAUAUUGGACAAUGGGCGGAAGCCUGAUCCAGCCAUGCCGCGUGUGUGAAGAAGGCCUUUUGGUUGUAAAGCACUUUAAGCGAGGAGGAGGCUCUUAAGGUUAAUACCCUUGAUGAGUGGACGUUACUCGCAGAAUAAGCACCGGCUAACUCUGUGCCAGCCGCCGCAGUAAAAC